UCUACUUAGUCAUCACGAAUUAGAAUCACUUCCUCAGCAUCAAUAAACACGAAGGUGCUCUGGCGGGAAAGGCCUUCCGGGCACUGCCCAGCCCCCUCUCCUCACUUCCUGUCACUUCCAGACGUCAUCAGCUGCACCUAGGAACCUGGACCUGUUUCCCUGCCCUUUGCUGUCCUGAGGAACUUAAUGAGCUUUCCGAGGUGGGGCCUCCUGCGCUGUUGAUGCUGACCCGGUUAUGAUGUCAGGAAGAAAAUCAAGCCAAAUGCAGGUGCCCGGGUCAUAAACUCCUGCUUCGGAUGGCUCGUUAGGGCGACAAAGGGACUGCGAUUGAUUUUGAAAUCCUCAAGAUCUGAUCAAGUCUCUCUCAAAGCCACCCCUGGACCCCUGGACCCCUGGCCUCAGAAGCAGGUGCUUAUGAAAAAGAAGCUGAGAUCGGACCCUUAGUUUUUUGCUGCAGUGGUUUAAGACGGGUUUUCCAUCUCCCACGGCCCGCGGCUGAGUGAGCUCACCCUCCAUCGUCUCUCCGCCUCCCGGGCCCUUCACCAGGGAUUGAAACCCCACCCCUGGGGAAAAGCUUGUAAACUGAAAAACAUACAUACCAUUAGCUAUAAUUAACGCUGUGUUGAGGAAACAGAGCGCGGGUCUUCAUCCCUUGGAAUGAGUUGCUAAACGGCUCUAAACUUCAGUUCUACCAUUUGUUAAACAGAAAUGAUAACGUUGUUUUGUGAUAUAGCACAAGUAAAGCACUAAAACUGCGUCUGCCGUAAACACGUGCUAACAGCAUUCAUUGCUGUCGUUGUCAUCUCGCUUUCCCAUCCCGAGGAGGCUAUUUGUGGUGGAGCCCAUGGCAGAGUGUCCCAGAGAAGUGACGAGCAUGUUGUCGUCCCCACUGUGGUUGCCCCAACUCACCGCCCCGAGACCAGCUUCUGGCACCGGGAGCGUUUAAAUCAGUGAGCAGAUACAUGAAGAAAAAAGAAAAUAUCCAGCAAUGCUCACAGAAGUUGUUCUGAUGUAGACAUAACAAACGGGCGUUCUUUAG
rnacentral:lncRNA from 1 species